rnacentral:rRNA from 1 species
AUUGAACGCUGGCGGCGUGCCUUACACAUGCAAGUCGAACGGCAGCACGGGAGCAAUCCUGGUGGCGAGUGGCGAACGGGUGAGUAAAGUAUCGGAACGUGCCCAGUCGUGGGGGAUAACGUAGCGAAAGUUACGCUAAUACCGCAUACGAUCUAUGGAUGAAAGCGGGGGAUCGCAAGACCUCGCGCGAUUGGAGCGGCCGAUAUCAGAUUAGGUAGUUGGUGGGGUAAAGGCCCACCAAGCCGACGAUCUGUAGCUGGUCUGAGAGGACGACCAGCCACGCUGGGACUGAGACACGGCCCAGACUCCUCCGGGAGGCAGCAGUGGGGAAUUUUGGACAAUGGGCGAAAGCCUGAUCCAGCCAUGCCGCGUGCAGGAUGAAGGCCUUCGGGUUGUAAACUGCUUUUGUACGGAACGAAAAGGACUGCCCUAAUACGGUGGUCCCAUGACGGUACCGUAAGAAUAAGCACCGGCUAACUACGUGCCAGCAGCCGCAGUAAUAC